ensembl:lncRNA MIR99AHG mir-99a-let-7c cluster host gene
GGCAGCUUCUGCUAGUGUUUAGGUACUAGUGCAGUGUAGAACCCUUUUCUCAGGCAAAACCUAACAUCUGACCGCACCCUUUUUGCUAUUAAAAAAAAAAAAAAGCUUCUAUUUUUUUCCUCCUGUCGUUAAGAUAAAUUCUCCAGUAGACAACCUCUCCCACUAAUUGUGUAUUAGCAACGUAUUUUAUCUUGAGAGCUUGUACACUGGGCUCUCAACGUGGUGUGGAAGGUAGCCUGUUACAGUGCUGGAUUCAUAAAAGGGCCUUUAUGGUUUGUGAAAGAAUAUCUGUGUGCUUAGGGAGGAAACUUUUUGAUCUGCAGAAAAGCCAGAAGACAUCUAGGACAUCCAUAAAAAUUCAUCAGAGAGCAUUUUACUACUGAGCUGCAAAGGGAAAAACUUAAAAUGGAUAUGAAAAGUGAAGAAAGUGAUCAUAGGAGAAAACCAUUUCAGGAACCAGGAAGGCAACAGAUUUUUCUUCAGGAUGCUCUUUUUGUGGAAAAUUAUGACAAGAGCACCUCAAAGGCAGCAGCCUCAAGGAGCAGCCAUGGCCCCAGACUUGUCGCACGGAUGCAGAAAACUUAAUGGAGGAGGCUGAGGUCAGAAUGGGAAGAGUUUUUAAAAAAUAAAAAGGGGAGCUAAUAUGUGAGGAACUGAUUGCUGUGCAUUAUUUUCCACUGAACAGACCUUCUUUUAACUUCUAAUCUCAAGCACAUAGCAGCUGUUGUUUUCAUAUUAAAGAUCAGUAAGUGUUUGUUGAAUGAAUGUAUAAA